rnacentral:rRNA from 1 species
AGUCGAACGAGAAUCCGGGCUUCGGCCCGGAGGAGAGUGGCGCAAGGGUGAGUAACACGUGAGUAAUCUGCCCCGAAGUCUGGGAUAGCCCAUGGAAACGUGGAUUAAUACCGGAUGUGGCUGUAUGAACUGCGGUUCUAACAGUUAAAGAUUCAUCGCUUCGGGAUGAGCUCGCGGUCCAUCAGCUUGUUGGUGAGGUAACGGCUCACCAAGGCGACGACGGAUAGCUGGUCUGAGAGGAUGACCAGUCACACUGGGACUGAGACACUGCCCAGACUCCUACGGGAGGCUGCAGUCGAGAAUCUUCCGCAAUGGGCGCAAGCCUGACGGAGCGAUGCUGCGUGCCGGACGAAGGCCUUCGGGUCGUAAACGGCUGUCACUCGGGACGAAUUUUGACGGUACCGAGAGAGGAAGCCACGGCUAACUACGUGCCAGCAGCCGCGGUAAUACGUAGGUGGCGAGCGUUAUUCGGAAUUAUUGGGCCUAGAGGGUUCGUAGGGGGUAAUGUAAGUCCGGUGUGAAAUCUCGAGGCUCAACCUCGAAACUGCAUUGGAAACUGCAUUACUUGAGUGUCAGAGAGGAAAGCGGAAUUCCUGGUGUAGCGGUGGAAUGCGUAGAUCUCAGGAAGAACACCGACGGCGAAGGCAGCUUUCUGGCUGGCAACUGACCCUGAUGAACGAAAGCUAGGGUAGCGAACCAGGAUUAGAUACCCUGGUAGUCCUAGCUGUAAACGUUGUGCACUGGAUGUGGGCGGAUUUGGUCCCGUCUGUGUCUGAGCGAAGGCGUUAAGUGCACCGCCUGGGGACUACGGCCGCAAGGCUAAAACUCAAAGGAAUUGACGGGGGCCCGCACAAGCGGUGGAGCAUGUGGCUCAAUUCGAGGGCAACGCGAAGAACCUUACCUGGGUUUGACAUAUACCUGACCGCCGGUGAGAGCCGGUUUCUCUUU